rnacentral:rRNA from 1 species
UACGUAGGGGGCAAGCGUUGUCCGGAAUUAUUGGGCGUAAAGAGCGCGUAGGCGGUCCGGUAAGUCAGCUGUGAAAGUCGGGGGCUCAACCCUCGAAUGCCGGUGGAUACUGUCGGGCUAGAGUGCGGAAGAGGCGAGUGGAAUUCCUGGUGUAGCGGUGAAAUGCGCAGAUAUCAGGAGGAACACCUAUUGCGAAGGCAGCUCGCUGGGACGUAACUGACGCUGAGACGCGAAAGCGUGGGGAGCAAACAGG